UACGUAGGGGGCAAGCGUUGUCCGGAAUCAUUGGGCGUAAAGAGCGCGUAGGCGGCCCUGUAAGUCCGCUGUGAAAGUCAAGGGCUCAACCCUUGAAUGCCGGUGGAUACUGCAGGGCUAGAGUCCGGAAGAGGAGAGUGGAAUUCCCGGUGUAGCGGUGAAAUGCGCAGAUAUCGGGAAGAACACCCGUGGCGAAGGCGGCUCUCUGGGACGGUACUGACGCUGAGACGCGAAAGCGUGGGGAGCGAACAGGG
rnacentral:rRNA from 1 species